rnacentral:lncRNA from 1 species
GUUAAAUAUCAGCCUCUCAACAAUGCCAUGAAAACCUUCAACAUGUUCAACCUAGCAAACCACUGAUUGGCUAUGUUACCGCUUGCUUAACCCUGUAUUAGCGUUGCUAGUUGCAGGUGCAGAUGCUUCCAUGUGAUAACAUGGGUUCCUUGUCAUAUCACCAUAUAUUAAUGCUAUUUAAUUUAAUGCACCUAUAUACUUGGUAGAAGGUGGAAGGCUCGGCCUUUCUAGCCUGGUGUUUUGUUCCACCUUUGCCCCCUUAGUUUUCGGCUACCGGUGUUAUGUUCCAUAAUUGAGCGCUCCUAACACGAUCG